GCCUGACUUACGAGUUCUCGGAUCUUGUUGGCACCGCUUACAACUUACUCCCAUCUGCAUUUAUCCUCCUGCAAGGGAGAAACCGUGAAAUUGUCAAAGCUAAUUUAGGUCUGAUGAAGGUAUUAGUUGCAAAGUCUAAAGCUGAUGGGUUGCAAAUGCAUUUAAAACGGAUGGUUGAAGGUUUGCUAAAGUGGCAAGAUAGUACAAAGAACCAUUUCAAAGCCAAGGUU
rnacentral:misc_RNA from 1 species